AUGAGGCUCAUCGCAUGGAACUGUUGGGGAUUGGGGAACGGCCCGACAGUUAAAGGACUUCUGGAUAUACAGAAGAAGGAGGCCCCAGAUAUUCUCUUUUUGUCAGAAACAAAACUUGAUGAAAGGAGGAUGGAGUGCUUCAGAUGGAAAUUAGGACUGACUAAUAUGGUGGUAAAAAAUUGUGAAGGGCGGAGUGGAGGUUUGGCGCUGUUUGGGAGGAAUGGUAUUCAAGUGAAGGCGGGAUUAAAAUCUAGGUACCACAUCGAUGCGGAGAUCACAUGGGAAGAUGGGUUUCAGUGGAGGUUGACAGGCAUAUAUGGUGAAUCACAUCAUGAUAACAAGGAGGUUACAUGGAAACUUCUCAAGACCAUUCAACAUCACAGCGACAAGCCAUGGCUGUGUGCAGGUGAUUUUAAUGAGGUGUUAAUGGGAUGGGAGAAGGAAGGAGGGGCAGUCCGGCCUCAGCGGUGUAUGGAUAGGUUAGAGGAAACUCUGGAGGAAUGUGCGCUUCAUGAUUUAGGCUUUGUGGUGGACAUGUUCACAUGGAGAAAUCAUAAUCAGAAUGAAGCUAGUUAUAUUAGAGAAAGAUUGGAUAGGGAUGUGGCCUCGCAGACAUGGUGUGAUCAUUUCCUACAUAUCGUGUAG
rnacentral:rRNA from 1 species